rnacentral:rRNA from 1 species
UUAGGACGAACGCUGGCGGCGUGCUUAACACAUGCAAGUCGAACGGAAAGGCCCUGCUUUUGUGGGGUGCUCGAGUGGCGAACGGGUGAGUAACACGUGAGUAACCUGCCCUUGACUUUGGGAUAACUUCAGGAAACUGGGGCUAAUACCGGAUAGGAGCUCCUGCUGCAUGGUGGGGGUUGGAAAGUUUCGGCGGUUGGGGAUGGACUCGCGGCUUAUCAGCUUGUUGGUGGGGUAGUGGCUUACCAAGGCUUUGACGGGUAGCCGGCCUGAGAGGGUGACCGGCCACAUUGGGACUGAGAUACGGCCCAGACUCCUACGGGAGGCAGCAGUGGGGAAUAUUGCACAAUGGGCGGAAGCCUGAUGCAGCAACGCCGCGUGCGGGAUGACGGCCUUCGGGUUGUAAACCGCUUUCGCCUGUGACGAAGCGUGAGUGACGGUAAUGGGUAAAGAAGCACCGGCUAACUACGCGCCAGCAGCCGCGGUGAUACGUAGGGUGCGAGCGUUGUCCGGAUUUAUUGGGCGUAAAGGGCUCGUAGGUGGUUGAUCGCGUCGGAAGUGUAAUCUUGGGGCUUAACCCUGAGCGUGCUUUCGAUACGGGUUGACUUGAGGAAGGUAGGGGAGAAUGGAAUUCCUGGUGGAGCGGUGGAAUGCGCAGAUAUCAGGAGGAACACCAGUGGCGAAGGCGGUUCUCUGGGCCUUUCCUGACGCUGAGGAGCGAAAGCGUGGGGAGCGAACAGGCUUAGAUACCCUGGUAGUCCACGCUGUAAACGGUGGGUACUAGGUGUGGGGUCCAUUCCACGGGUUCCGUGCCGUAGCUAACGCUUUAAGUACCCCGCCUGGGGAGUACGGCCGCAAGGCUAAAACUCAAAGGAAUUGACGGGGCCCCGCACAAGCGGCGGAGCAUGCGGAUUAAUUCGAUGCAACGCGUAGAACCUUACCUGGGUUUGACAUGGAUCGGGAGUGCUCAGAGAUGGGUGUGCCUCUUUUGGGGUCGGUUCACAGGUGGUGCAUGGCUGUCGUCAGCUCGUGUCGUGAGAUGUUGGGUUAAGUCCCGCAACGAGCGCAACCCUUGUUCACUGUUGCCAGCACGUUAUGGUGGGGACUCAGUGGAGACCGCCGGGGUCAACUCGGAGGAAGGUGGGGAUGACGUCAAGUCAUCAUGCCCCUUAUGUCCAGGGCUUCACGCAUGCUACAAUGGCUGGUACAGAGAGUGGCGAGCCUGUGAGGGUGAGCGAAUCUCGGAAAGCCGGUCUCAGUUCGGAUUGGGGUCUGCAACUCGACCCCAUGAAGUCGGAGUCGCUAGUAAUCGCAGAUCAGCAACGCUGCGGUGAAUACGUUCCCGGGGCUUGUACACACCGCCCGUCAAGUCAUGAAAGUUGGUAACACCCGAAGCCGGUGGCCUAACCGUUGUGGGGGAGCCGUCGAAGGUGGGACUG